CCUACGGGAGGCUGCAGUGGGGAAUAUUGCACAAUGGGGGAAACCCUGAUGCAGCGACGCCGCGUGAGUGAAGAAGGAAUUCGGUAUGUAAAGCUCUUUCAGCAGGGAAGAAAAUGACGGUACCUGAGUAAGAAGCCCCGGCUAACUACGUGCCAGCAGCCGCGGGAUUACGUAGGGGGCAAGCGUUAUCCGGAUGUACUGGGUGUAAAGGGAGCGGAGACGGCUGUGCAAGUCUGGAGUGAAGGGCGGGGGCUCAACCCCCGGACUGCUCUGGAUACUGUACGGCUGGAGUGCAGGAGAGGUAAGGGGAAUUCCUAGUGUAGCGGUGAAAUGCGUAGAUAUUAGGAGGAACACCAGUGGCGAAGGCGGCUUACUGGACUGUAACUGACGUUGAGGCUCGAAAGCGUGGGGAGCAAACAGGAUUAGAUACCCCAGUAGUC
rnacentral:rRNA from 1 species